GGGUUCGCCAAGUUGGGCAGCAUGCAUCAACAGCAUGCGGCGCUGGUGCAAAUCCAGCCAACCCACCA
rnacentral:tRNA from 1 species